rnacentral:rRNA from 1 species
UACGUAGGGUGCAAGCGUUAAUCGGAAUUACUGGGCGUAAAGCGUGCGCAGGCGGUUUUGUAAGUCUGACGUGAAAUCCCCGGGCUUAACCUGGGAAUUGCCUUGGAGACUGCAAGGCUGGAGUCUGGCAGAGGGGGGUAGAAUUCCACGUGUAGCAGUGAAAUGCGUAGAGAUGUGGAGGAACACCGAUGGCGAAGGCAGCCCCCUGGGCCAAGACUGACGCUCAUGCACGAAAGCGUGGGGAGCAAACAGG